rnacentral:rRNA from 1 species
CAAUAGCGUAUAUUUAAGUUGUUGCAGUUAAAAAGCUCGUAGUUGGAUUUCGGGUGGGGUCUGCCGGUCCGUCGUUGCGAUGUGCACUGGCAGGCCCUACCUUGUUGUCGGGGACUAGCUCCUGGGCUUCACUGUCCGGGACUAGGAGCCGGCGAAGUUACUUUGAGUAAAUUAGAGUGUUCAAAGCAAGCCUACGCUCUGAAUAUAUUAGCAUGGAAUAACACGAUAGGACUCUGGCUUAUCUUGUUGGUCUGUGAGACCAGAGUAAUGAUUAAGAGGGACAGUCGGGGACAUUCGUAUUUCAUUGUCAGAGGUGAAAUUCUUGGAUUUACGGAAGACGAACAUCUGCGAAAGCAUUUGCCAAGGAUGUUUUCAUUGA